ACCCACCACAGACGUCACGGUUCCAUGGGUGCAAAGCGCCCCGGAUGAAAAGGGAACACGGUGCGGUGUAGCCAACAGGCGCCAAACCCGUGACUGCCCCCGCAACUGUAAGCGGCGAGCCUCCAGAGAAACCACUGGCCCACAGGCCGGGAAGGGCUGGGAAGGCAUUGACCCGCAAGUCAGGAGACCUGCCGUAAAGGGCCUUGAUGC
rnacentral:ncRNA from 1 species